UGGGGAAUAUUGCACAAUGGUGGGAACUCUGAUGCAGCGACGCCGCGUGAGUGAUGAAGGAAUUCGUUUCGUAAAACUCUGUUCUAUGGGAAGAAAAGGACUGUACCAUAGGAGAAAGCUCCGGCUAAAUACGUGCCAGCAGCCGCGGUAAUACGUAUGGAGCGAGCGUUGUCCGGAAUUAUUGGGCGUAAAGGGUGCGCAGGCGGCUUUACAAGUUGGAUGUGAAAUAUUGUGGCUCAACCACAAACGUGCAUCCAAAACUGCAAAGCUUGAGUUAAGGAGAGGUAAGUGGAAUUCCUGGUGUAGCGGUGGAAUGCGUAGAUAUCAGGAGGAAUACCGGUGGCGAAGGCGACUUACUGGACUUAAACUGACGCACAGGCACGAAAGCGUGGGGAGCAAACAGG
rnacentral:rRNA from 1 species